rnacentral:rRNA from 1 species
GUACCGUACGAACGUUUAUUCGGAAUCACUGGGCUUAAAGGGUGCGUAGGCGGCGUGGUCAGUUGGGUGUGAAAUCCCUCGGCUCAACCGAGGAACUGCGCCCAAUACUGCCACACUCGAGGGAGACAGAGGUAAGCGGAACUGAUGGUGGAGCGGUGAGAUGCGUUGAUAUCAUCAGGAACACCAGUGGCGAAAGCGGCUUACUGGGUCUCUUCUGACGCUGAGGUACGAAAGCUAGGGUAGCGAACGGGGGAUUAGAUACCCCGGUAGUCCUAGCUGUAAACGAUGAGCACUUGGUCGGAGACUCCUCCAUAGGUUUCCGGUCGUAGCGAAAGUGUUAAAUGCUCCGCCUGGGGAGUAUGGUCGCAAGGCUG